GAUGAACGCUGGCGGCGUGYUUAACACAUGCAAGUCGAACGGGGAACAAAUUAUUGAAGCUUCGGCAGAUCUAGCUUGUUCCUAGUGGCGGACGGGUGAGUAACGCGKGGGUAACCUGCCUCACACUGGGGGAUAACAGUCAGAAAUGGCUGCUAAUACCGCAUAAGCGCAUAGUACCGCAUGGUACAGUGUGAAAAACUCCGGUGGUGUGAGAUGGACCCGCGUUGGAUUAGCUAGUUGGCAGGGCAGCGGCCUACCAAGGCGACGAUCCAUAGCCGGCCUGAGAGGGUGAACGGCCACAUUGGGACUGAGACACGGCCCAGACUCCUACGGGAGGCAGCAGUGGGGAAUAUUGCACAAUGGGGGAAACCCUGAUGCAGCGACGCCGCGUGAAGGAAGAAGUAUCUCGGUA
rnacentral:rRNA from 1 species